GAUGAACGCUGGCGGCGUGCCUAAUACAUGCAAGUCGAGCGAACAGACGAGGAGCUUGCUCCUCUGACGUUAGCGGCGGACGGGUGAGUAACACGUGGAUAACCUACCUAUAAGACUGGGAUAACUUCGGGAAACCGGAGCUAAUACCGGAUAAUAUAUUGAACCGCAUGGUUCAAUAGUGAAAGACGGUUUUGCUGUCACUUAUAGAUGGUUCCGCGCCGCAUUAGCUAGUUGGUAAGGUAACGGCUUACCAAGGCAACGAUGCGUAGCCGACCUGAGAGGGUGAUAGGCCACACUGGAACUGAGACACGGUCCAGACUCCUACGGGAGGCAGCAGUAGGGAAUCUUCCGCAAUGGGCGAAAGCCUGACGGAGCAACGCCGCGUGAGUGAUGAAGGUCUUCGGAUCGUAAAACUCUGUUAUUAGGGAAGAACAAAUGUGUAAGUAACUAUGCACGUCUUGACGGUACCUAAUCAGAAAGCCACGGCUAACUACGUG
rnacentral:rRNA from 1 species